CAAAAAUAAAGUUAAUAAACGAGCCCAAAAACCACGUCAAUUCUUUUAAAAAUAAAAGCUGCUGAUACUCAAAACUGGCGCCUUGGCGGCCUUGCUUCGGCUUGCGUUACUCGGAUAGGUCUUCCACUCAGGUCAGUUCCAUCCAAGGACUGAAUGGCAUUGUUAACUUCCUCUGCUGAAUUAUAUGUUAUGAAACCAAAGCCCCUAGAUCUUCCGCUCUCACGGUCAUAAACUACUUUUGCCUCCACAACAUUUCCAUGUUCCCUAAACAAGUUCUCCAGUGUAAGAUCAUCAACACCCCAAGCAAGGUUACUCACAUGAAUACGGUUGGG
rnacentral:misc_RNA from 1 species